UAACACAUGCAAGUCGAGCGGUAAGGCCUUUCGGGGUACACGAGCGGCGAACGGGUGAGUAACACGUGGGUGAUCUGCCCUGCACUCUGGGAUAAGCCUGGGAAACUGGGUCUAAUACCGGAUAUGACUGCAGCAUGCAUGUGCUGUGGUGGAAAGCUUUUGUGGUGCAGGAUGGGCCCGCGGCCUAUCAGCUUGUUGGUGGGGUAAUGGCCUACCAAGGCGACGACGGGUAGCCGACCUGAGAGGGUGACCGGCCACACUGGGACUGAGACACGGCCCAGACUCCUACGGGAGGCAGCAGUGGGGAAUAUUGCACAAUGGGCGGAAGCCUGAUGCAGCGACGCCGCGUGAGGGAUGAAGGCCUUCGGGUUGUAAACCUCUUUCAGCAGGGACGAAGCGCAAGUGACGGUACCUGCAGAAGAAGCACCGGCUAACUACGUGCCAGCAGCCGCGGUAAUACGUAGGGUGCGAGCGUUGUCCGGAAUUACUGGGCGUAAAGAGUUCGUAGGCGGUUUGUCGCGUCGUUUGUGAAAACCCGGGGCUCAACUUCGGGCUUGCAGGCGAUACGGGCAGACUUGAGUGUUUCAGGGGAGACUGGAAUUCCUGGUGUAGCGGUGAAAUGCGCAGAUAUCAGGAGGAACACCGGUGGCGAAGGCGGGUCUCUGGGAAACAACUGACGCUGAGGAACGAAAGCGUGGGUAGCAAACAGGAUUAGAUACCCUGGUAGUCCACGCCGUAAACGGUGGGCGCUAGGUGUGGGUUCCUUCCACGGAAUCUGUGCCGUAGCUAACGCAUUAAGCGCCCCGCCUGGGGA
rnacentral:rRNA from 1 species